rnacentral:tRNA from 1 species
AGGAUUUUAGUUUAUAAAAACAUUUGAUUUGCAAUCAAAAAUUAUUGAACCUAUCAAUUUAUCUUA